AGGGCUGGAAGAGGUGCGUUAUUCAGGUAGCGUAUGUUAGGAGCGCAAACUCCAUUGAGCAUACGUGAGGGGAAUUAACGCCGAGAGGUAACACUUUUUUGUGAAAGGUUACUUCGGGCGACUAGGUUGAAUCCUAGCGACUGUCACCAAUAACAUAUUUGGUGGAGAGCUUCUGGUCUU
rnacentral:ncRNA from 1 species